UACGUAGGGUGCGAGCGUUGUCCGGAAUUAUUGGGCGUAAAGAGCUCGUAGGCGGUGUGUCACGUCGGCCGUGAAAAACCUGCAGCUUAACUGUGGGCUUGCGGUGGAUACGGGCAGACUUGAGUUCGGUAGGGGAGACUGGAAUUCCUGGUGUAGCGGUGAAAUGCGCAGAUAUCAGGAGGAACACCGGUGGCGAAGGCGGCUAUCUGGACGGUUUCUGACGCUAAGACGCGAAAGCGUGGGGAGCAAACAGGAUUAGAAACCCCAGUGC
rnacentral:rRNA from 1 species